UACGUAGGUGGCAAGCGUUAUCCGGAUUUAUUGGGCGUAAAGGGAACGCAGGCGGUCUUUUAAGUCUGAUGUGAAAGCCUUCGGCUUAACCGGAGUAGUGCAUUGGAAACUAGGAGACUUGAGUGCAGAAGAGGAGAGUGGAACUCCAUGUGUGGCGGUGAAAUGCGUAGAUAUAUGGAAGAACACCAGUGGCGAAAGCGGCUCUCUGGUCUGUAACUGACGCUGAGGUUCGAAAGCGUGGGUAGCAAGCAGG
rnacentral:rRNA from 1 species